rnacentral:rRNA from 1 species
AGUGAACGCUGGCGGUAGGCCUAACACAUGCAAGUCGAACGGCAGCACAGUAAGAGCUUGCUCUUACGGGUGGCGAGUGGCGGACGGGUGAGGAAUACAUCGGAAUCUACUUUUUCGUGGGGGAUAACGUAGGGAAACUUACGCUAAUACCGCAUACGACCUACGGGUGGAAGCAGGGGAUAUUCGGACCUUGCGCGAUUGAAUGAGCCGAUGUCGGUGUAGCUAGUUGGCGGGGUAAUGGCCCACCAAGGCGACGAUCCGUAGCUGGUCUGAGAGGAUGAUCGGCGACAUUGGAGGGGGGACAGGGUCCAGGCUCCUACGGGAGGCAGCAGUGGGGAAUAUUGGGCAAUGGGGGCAAGCCUGGUCCAGCCAUACCGCGUGUGUGAAGGAGGCGUUCGGGUUGUAAAGCCCGUUUUUUGGGAAAGAAAAGCAGCAGGUUAAUACCCCGCUGUUCUGACGGUACCCAAAGAAUAAGCACCGGCUAACUACGUG